rnacentral:rRNA from 1 species
UACGUAGGGUGCAAGCGUUAAUCGGAAUUACUGGGCGUAAAGCGUGCGCAGGCGGUGAUGUAAGACAGUUGUGAAAUCCCCGGGCUCAACCUGGGAACUGCAUCUGUGACUGCAUUGCUGGAGUGCGGCAGAGGGGGAUGGAAUUCCGCGUGUAGCAGUGAAAUGCGUAGAUAUGCGGAGGAACACCGAUGGCGAAGGCAAUCCCCUGGGCCUGCACUGACGCUCAUGCACGAAAGCCUGGGGAGCAAACAGG